rnacentral:rRNA from 1 species
AGCGCAGGCGGAUAGGUCAGUCUAAAGUGGAAUCCCGGGGCUCAACCUCGGAACUGCUUCGGAUACUGCCUGUCCUGAGUUCGUGAGAGGAAAGCGGAAUUCAGGGUGUAGCGGUGAAAUGCUUAGAUAUCCUGAGGAACACCAAUGGCGAAGGCAGCUUUCUGGCGCGAUACUGACGCUGAGGCUCGAAAGCGUGGGGAGCGAACA